rnacentral:rRNA from 1 species
GAUGAACGCUGGCGGCGUGCCUAAUACAUGCAAGUCGAGCGAACAGACGAGGAGCUUGCUCCUCUGACGUUAGCGGCGGACGGGUGAGUAACACGUGGAUAACCUACCUAUAAGACUGGGAUAACUUCGGGAAACCGGAGCUAAUACCGGAUAAUAUAUUGAACCGCAUGGUUCAAUAGUGAAAGACGGUUUUGCUGUCACUUAUAGAUGGAUCCGCGCCGCAUUAGCUGGUUGGUAAGGUAACGGCUUACCAAGGCAACGAGGCGUAGCCGACCUGAGAGGGUGGUCGGCCACACUGGAGCUGAGCCACGGACCAGACUCCUACGAGACGCAGCAGUAGGGAAUCUUACGCAGUGGUCGAAAGCAUGACAGAGCAACGGCGCGUGAGUGAUGGAGGUCUUCGGAUCGUAAAACUCUGUUAUUAGGGAAGAACAAAUGUGUAAGUAACUAUGCAGGUCUUGACGGUACCUAAUCAGAAAGCAACGGCUAACUACGUG